GUGGGGAAUUUUGGACAAUGGGCGCAAGCCUGAUCCAGCAAUGCCGCGUGCAGGAAGAAGGCCUUCGGGUUGUAAACUGCUUUUGUCAGGGAAGAAAUCUUCUGGGCUAAUACCCCGGGAGGAUGACGGUACCUGAAGAAUAAGCACCGGCUAACUACGUGCCAGCAGCCGCGGUAAUACGUAGGGUGCGAGCGUUAAUCGGAAUUACUGGGCGUAAAGCGUGCGCAGGCGGCUUUGCAAGACAGAUGUGAAAUCCCCGGGCUCAACCUGGGAACUGCAGUUGGGACUGCAAGGCUAGAGUACGGCAGAGGGGGAUGGAAUUCCGCGUGUAGCAGUGAAAUGCGUAGAUAUGCGGAGGAACACCGAUGGCGAAGGCAAUCCCCUGGGCCUGCACUGACGCUCAUGCACGAAAGCGUGGGGAGCAAACAGGAUUAGAAACCCCGGUAGUCC
rnacentral:rRNA from 1 species